GUCAACUACCCCGCCCUAAAGGACGGAGCUUGUCAAACUAGGUUGACCAGACUCAGAUGCUCGCAAGAGCAGCUACGCUGACCAGAGGUCGUUAAGACUUACCCGUGGAUGCUUCCUGAGUCCACUGCUCUAAA
rnacentral:sRNA from 12 species